rnacentral:rRNA from 1 species
AGUGAACGCAGGCGGUAGGCCUAACACAUGCAAGUCGAACGGCAGCACAGUAAGAGCUUGCUCUUACGGGUGGCGAGUGGCGGACGAGUGAGGAAUACAUCGGAAUCUACUUUUUCGUGGGGGAUAACGUAGGGAAACUUACGCUAAUACCGCAUACGACCUACGGGUGAAAGCAGGGGAUCUUCGGACCUUGCGCGAUUGAAUGAGCCGAUGUCGGAUUAGCUAGUUGGCGGGGUAAAGGCCCACCAAGGCGACGAUCCGUAGCUGGUCUGAGAGGAUGAUCAGCCACACUGGAACUGAGACACGGUCCAGACUCCUACGGGAGGCAGCAGUGGGGAAUAUUGGGCAAUGGGCGCAAGCCUGAUCCAGCCAUACCGCGUGGGUGAAGAAGGCCUUCGGGUUGUAAAGCCCUUUUGUUGGGAAAGAAAAGCAGCAGGUUAAUACCCCGCUGUUCUGACGGUACCCAAAGAAUAAGCACCGGCUAACUUCGUG